rnacentral:tRNA from 1 species
GCCUGGGUGGCUCAGUCGGUUGAGCGUCUGACUUCGGCUCAGGUCAUGAUCUCGUGGUCUGUGAGUUCGAGCCCCACAUCAGGCU